UCAAAUAAUACCCAAACAAAAAUAUGGAGAAUGGGGGGAUUUGAAUGUUGCGAAUAAUUAUCGUAUCAUGUAUACAAGGGCAGACGAAUGAGACGCGCGCGGCGAGUAUUGGAGAAAAACAAAAAAUACAAAAUCAAGGCAACGCGAGAUAAUAUGGAAGAGAUGGAGAGGAAACCACAGAGUUUGUUAUAUAAACCGAAACGCUGCUAAUCAACCGUGAUUCGACCCCGGCGCGACUAAAGAUAAGUUACAUCCGCCUAAUUCCAGCUAAGAAAAGAAAAAAAAAUCAUGCGUAGGCGGAUGAGUCUUUAUGGUACUAUAACAAGUAUUUUCAAGCCUGCUGUAAGACUGGUUUACAUCAUGCGAAUAUAUAAAAUCAUACAGACAAAUCCUACGCAAAUAUAUAAAAAAUGAAAAAAAAGA